rnacentral:rRNA from 1 species
AAUUGAACGCUGGCGGGAAUGCUUUACACACUGCAAGUCGAACGGCAGCACGGACUUCGGUCUGGUGGCGAGUGGCGAACGGGUGAGUAAUAUAUCGGAACGUGCCCAGUCGUGGGGGAUAACGUAGUGAAAAUUACGCUAAUACCGCAUACGAUCUAUGGAUGAAAGCGGGGGAUCGCAAGACCUCGCGCGAUUGGAGCGGCCGAUAUCAGAUUAGGUAGUUGGUGAGGUAAAGGCUCACCAAGCCAACGAUCUGUAGCUGGUCUGAGAGGACGACCAGCCACACUGGAACUGAGACACGGUCCAGACUCCUACGGGAGGCAGCAGUGGGGAAUUUUGGACAAUGGACGCAAGUCUGAUCCAGCCAUUCCGCGUGCAGGACGAAGGCCUUCGGGUUGUAAACUGCUUUUGUACAGAACGAAAAGGUUUCUAUUAAUACUAGGAGCUCAUGACGGUACUGUAAGAAUAAGCACCGGCUAACUACGUGCCAGCAGACCGCGGUAAUACGUAGGGUGCAAGCGUUAAUCGGAAUUACUUGGGCGUACAAGCGUGCGCAGGCGGUUAUGUAAGACAGAGGU